UCGAGUUGGAGACGAGGCACAAAAAGUUGACCUUUGCCGUCGUAUGCAGUGAAGGAACUUCAGCAUAGAGUAGCAUAAGCUAUCGGAGGAAGCAUUAAUAACGAAUAGGCUGACGAAAUAAUAACGAAUAUAAUUAAAUAGGAUUAUUUUAUGCUAUCAUCACCAUGUGACAUUUGCGACCGUUUUUAUCCUGAAGUAUGACAGAUACAAUGUCUAGACUGUCCUCGGUUGCUUCUCUUCGACUACCAGCCAUUCAGCACCCGUUAUCAAGACUCAGAGAACCCAGAAACCCUCUCUCUCAGAGGCUACUCCCAGAGAUUACGCUGGGAGUGACGAAGUUGUACCGCCGCUGUUGCGGGAUGGGGGCCUCGACUUUUGUUCCGAGGUCAAAACACAAGAAGAACCACAGGUUAUCCGUAUGACAAUUCUCCGCCGAAGCAGAGCCGUUUCAGCCUGGUCUCGCAGCCAAUCCCCGAAGGAGUCGAAGUCUCAGUAGCCCUUGAUCCGGUUUAAACCACGGCUGCCCAUCUUUGGUCAGCGGGUGGCACCAGAGAGCAGGGGGAGCCGAGUCACCAGCAUAACCAGUACCAGCAUCACCAGUCAAACCAGUACCGUCAGCCAAACCAAUACCAGCAGAACCAGUAUCCUUACCAGAACUACUACCGCAGCCUCCUGCCCCGAGGCCCAGCUCAGGAUCCAAGUGGACCAGCUUGAGCACGAGCUAAGGCAGAACAUUCAAUUGUUAGGACACUUGAACCUUCAACGAAUGUUCAAGAACAACCAUCCGGAUGGAAAAGCACUGGCCAACAGAGAUGUGUUGCUGAUGAUCCUCACCAAGUUUCUGGGCAGAUUCAUCACACUGCAGCAGUACAGCCAGUUGCUGCUCCGGUU